rnacentral:lncRNA from 1 species
GGAAAGUCCUCCCCCUGAAGUGCCUGAAGUGCUGCCACCGAAGGAAGUGGUCCCAGAAAAGAAAGUACCGGUGCCUCCUGCCAAAAAGCCAGAAGCUCCACCUCCUAAAGUACCAGAGGCUCCCAAAGAGGUUGUUCCUGAAAAGAAAGUGCCCUCGGCUCCUCCUAAAAAGCCUGAAGUCCCACCUGUUAAAGUGCCAGAGGCUCCGAAAGAAGUUGUUCCUGAAAAGAAAGUGCCAGCGGCUCCUCCUAAAAAGCCUGAAGUCACACCUGUUAAAGUGCCUGAGGCUCCCAAAGAAGUUGUUCCUGAAAAGAAAGUGCCAGUGCCUCCUCCUAAAAAGCCUGAAGUGCCACCCACAAAAGUCCCAGAGGUGCCAAAGGUAGCUGUCCCAGAAAAGAAGGUGCCUGAAGCUAUUCCUCCCAAACCGGAAAGUCCUCCCCCUGAAGUGUUCGAGGAGCCUGAGGAAGUUGCCCUAGAAGAGCCUCCUGCUGAAGUUGUGGAAGAGCCAGAGCCAGCGGCGCCUCCACAAGUGACCGUACCACCUAAGAAACCUGUCCCAGAAAAGAAAGCACCUGCUGUCGUUGCCAAAAAACCUGAACUACCACCAGUGAAAGUGCCCGAGGUGCCCAAGGAGGUUGUUCCUGAAAAGAAGGUGCCUCUGGUGGUUCCCAAAAAGCCAGAAGCCCCACCUGCUAAAGUGCCUGAAGUUCCAAAAGAAGUUGUUCCAGAAAAGAAAGUAGCUGUUCCCAAAAAGCCAGAAGUCCCACCAGCAAAAGUGCCAGAAGUGCCAAAGAAACCUGUCUUGGAAGAGAAACCAGCUGUUCCUGUUCCAGAAAGAGCGGAGUCUCCUCCCCCAGAAGUAUAUGAAGAACCUGAGGAAAUUGCUCCUGAAGAGGAAAUUGCUCCUGAAGAGGAAAAGCCAGUUCCUGUUGCAGAAGAGGAGGAACCAGAGGUUCCACCUCCAGCAGUGCCUGAAGAGCCCAAGAAGAUCAUCCCAGAGAAGAAAGUUCCUGUCAUCAAAAAACCAGAAGCACCGCCUCCUAAAGAACCUGAGAUGCCAAAGAAAGUUGUUCCAGUGAAGAAGGUCCCAACUGUUAAGAAGCCAGAAACACCAGCAGCUAAAGUGCCUGAGGUGCCCAAGAAACUUGUUCCAGUAAAGAAAGAACCUGUGCCUGUUACCAAAAAACCAGAAGUUCUUCCAGAAAAAGUGCCCAAAGUGCCUGAGAAAAUCAUCCCAGAAAAGGAAGUGUCUGUGCCUAUCCCUGCAGAGCCAGAAGUUCCACCUGCUGAAGUUGAAGAGACUCCUGAGGAAAUAAUAUAUGAAG